GGCCUACCAUGGUGGUAACGGGUAACGGGGUGUUAGGGCACGACACCGGAGAGGGAGCCUGAGAAACGGCUACCACAUCCAAGGAUGGCAGCAGGCGCGCAAAUUACCCAAUCCCGACACGGGGAGGUAGUGACAAUAAAUAACAAUACGGGGUCCUUUAGGGUUUCGUAAUUGGAAUGAGUACAAUUUAAAUCUCUUAACGAGGAACAAUUGGAGGGCAAGUCUGGUGCCAGCAGCCGCGGUAAUUCCAGCUCCAAUAGCGUAUAUUAAAGUUGUUGCAGUUAAAAAGCUCGUAGUUGAAUUUCGGGAUUAGUACGUUGGUCGUGCCUUAGGUACGUACUGGUGUUACUGGUUCCUACCUUCUGACGAACCAUCAUGUCAUUAAUUUGGUGUGGCGGGGAAUCAGGAGUGUUACUUUGAAAAAAUUAGAGUGUUUAAAGCAGGCUCGCGCUUGAAUACAUUAGCAUGGAAUAAUGAAAUAGGACGUUGACCCUAUUUUGUUGGUUUCUAGGAUUGACGUAAUGAUUAAUAGGGAUAGUUGGGGGCAUUAGUAUUCAAUUGUCAGAGGUGAAAUUCUUGGAUUUAUUGAAGACUAACUACUGCGAAAGCAUUUGCCAAGGAUGUUUUCAUUAAUCAAGAACGAAAGUUAGGGGAUCGAAGACGAUCAGAUACCGUCGUAGUCUUAACCAUAAACUAUGCCGACUAGGGAUCGGAUGAUGUUAAUUUUUUAAUGACUCAUUUCGGCGCCUUACG
rnacentral:rRNA from 1 species